CUUUCCCGCUUCCUGGGCUGUCGCUCAUCACUUUCAGCUGCCUACUGCCAGAGGCCUGUCAGGGUAUGUAAAUGGGGUGGCUAUGACGAGGAACGGGACCUGCUCACUCCAACGCCGGCCAUAAGUUCUGCAUGCCUAAAAUUUCAGGAAGGUCACAUCAAUAGGUCAGCAUGGCCAGAGUUUCAGAAAACAAAGAUAUUUCGUAAGAAGAGGAAUUAAUUCCAGCUCACAGUGAGAACAUUACAAGAGAAGCAAGUUCAUUGUGAAGGGCAAUCAGAUAGAUCCUGACCUCCUGAAUUUGGAAGAAGCCAGAAUGUCAUUGUUCUUUAGUGGGAAGAGAAUUAGACCCAGAAGAUCUGCUGUGGACAUUACAUAUCCACCCGUCUUUUUCCAUCUCUUUUAAAGUUGAGCCCACCACCACUCCACUCCAAAACCAAAAUCUGUUGCUGUACAGGUUCCUGCAUGAGUGUCGCUGAGGAUGUGAUCUGAAGAUAAUGACAUUGCACAGAUAUAAAGCAAUGGUGAGAUUACAUUUGGAAUAGUGUAUCCAGUUUGGGGCUUAAAGUACAUUACCCAAAAGAGAUGUCAAGAUGUUUGAUAUGAAGAGGAGGCCAGCGUGAGAUCAAGUAGCAACCUACAAUUAUGCAAAGAGGUACUACAGAAUCAGAUGUUUCUUUAAGUGGGAGAUGCCCAGAUGAGGCGGAUGAGCAAUGGUCAAAGGUUGUGUCUUGAGAGAUUAAGGCUGGAGAUUAGGAAACAGUUUGGGAGACUAAGAAUCACUGCAAGAGGUUGCAGUGGAAUCUCCAUCCUUAUAAUGUAUCUUGGAAAUUCAGAUUGAAAAAGCCUGGCUGAUCUGAACUAGCGCUGCCUAUAGUCUGGCUUUGAGAGGCAGGUUGAACUAGAGACCUCCAGAGAUCCAUUCCAACCAGCAUUUCUGUAAGCCUAUGAUCUCUCCUUAAGAGUGCACUUCUGACAAGAAAAUGAUUAUUCUUCCUCCAGUAGUCACAGAGGAUGUUAGAGCAGUAUGCUUUCCCUGCAAGCAGACACAAGCCUGAAAGAUGUCUUCACUUGCCAAAAAGAGAAGAGCACCCCACACUACGUGCCAAAAGAAAGAGAAAAUCAUAUGAUCUUGGCAAGCAGAAUACAUUUUUCUAGGGCUGGCACUCUGCUAAGACAUCCGCUUUCCCUCCUUUGCUUGGAUCAAAGGCAGAGGUAGUUCAGCUCUGCCUCAAGCAUGGCUAGCAUGAGCUUUGCCCACAAUAUGCACACUGGUGAUAAGGCUGAGGCUGAUCUGUGUGAGUUCAGUGUUUUUGAAGUAGUGGCUCUUGCAGAACGUGGAGAUUUUAAUUUUACAGCCACAUUUGAGAAUUUCAAGUUUUGUUUGACUUUUGUGAUAGGAUUAGAAAUUGAUUCAAGUAAAUAUUUUAAUGCAAUUACUUUACAGUGUUUAUGCUCAAUGCAGAAGCUGAUGCUGUAAGAAACAGGAACACUACAUAAAAUUGAAUAAUGAAUAAU
rnacentral:lncRNA from 1 species